UGUUUCGUCUCGCAAAUUUCGAGGAGACUGAGGUGAAGAAUUUUCGGGCAUUUUCGGGCUGCUCCUGCUACUGCUCCAAUGCUCUUUUCUCAAGAACAAAUACGCCUGGCUAAUGUUUUUUGUACUAUUAAUGA
ensembl:ncRNA F55C5.13 ncRNA